rnacentral:rRNA from 1 species
UACGAAGGGUGCUAGCGUUGUUCGGAUUUACUGGGCGUAAAGCGCAUGUAGGCGGGUCGUUAAGUUGGGGGUGAAAUCCCGAGGCUCAACCUCGGAACUGCCUUCAAAACUGGCGACCUGGAGCAAGAUAGAGGCAAGUGGAAUUGCGAGUGUAGAGGUGAAAUUCGUAGAUAUUCGCAGGAACACCAGUGGCGAAGGCGACUUGCUGGAUCGUUGCUGACGCUGAGAUGCGAAAGCGUGGGGAGCAAACAGG